GGUUUAAUAGCAAGUAGAGGAUAAUUAUUCGCUGGUGUCAGAGAAAUUAUGCCACAAUGUGUACAAAUGUCACAAGAAUAUCGCAGCAAUUGCUCUGGCAUAAGAAAAGACCCAUUUUGGAGUGGUCUGUUUCAGAUAUGACACCAAAAUGAUGCAUAGCGUCACAAUGUCUGGCACAUUGGUGCAUUAAAAACAAGUAAAAUGACACCUAGUAAUGAUAAUUUUUCUAUAUGCCAGUAAUACUUCCUAAUCCCCAAAUACAGCAAUAUAAUAUGGGAGGAUUUCACUAAAAUAUGAUCUAGGCUGAAUAAUUUAGGCAAUGUCAUAUUUAAUGAAAAAAUUAAU